UUCGGUGCUCGUGUUUGAUGGCGCUGUACAAAUUUUUGCAAAUGUCCAGCUUGAAUUAGAUUUUCCAACUUAUCUUUCAAAGUGGUGCAAUCUUNAGUGGUGUGCCCUCUAUUCUGAUGGUAUCUACAGUAUUUAUUCUCAUCCGCUCCCAAAGGUGUAGGAGCCCGAACUACCUUCAACAAAUCAGCUCUCAAAGCUUCUUCCAUCACCCUGACUCGAGGGGCGUUAAGAGGUGUGUGGUGAGUAUGCUGCAGGAUUCGNGAUUGGUCCAUUCUUCGCUGACCGUUCGGUCCCUCUUCCAUUCUAUGUACCCUCCGNUUCAUGUUCUCCCUUUUUAUCUGUCCUCUCGGUUCAAUUUCUUGCCCUUUGUGAUACGCUCUUCCUUCAAACUUGUCAGUUUAUGCUGUAAUUCAACCAUAGUUUGCGGCUCUUCGGCGUAUAGGUAAUCCACGAAUGGUCCGGGCCUCAAAGCAGAAGUUAAGGCAUUGACUAUCAACCUUUGAUCGAUAUUUCGUACUNGUCGCGCCGUUCGGUUAAAUCUCUCCAUGAAUCCUUUAAGCGAUUCUUCUCUUCCUUGUCUCAUCCUCAUCAAGGCCGUGUAAGUCAUCCCAGGUGUCUUACUCGAGAUAUACUGUUGAC
rnacentral:lncRNA from 1 species